GUCUACAGCCAUACCACCCUAAACGCGCCCGAUCUCGUCUGAUCUCGGAAGCUAAGCAGGGUCGGGGCCUGGUUAGUACUUGGAUGGGAGAAAUUAUUUUAUUUAUUUCUUAAAAAGAAGCAAACUAAAAUUC
rnacentral:rRNA from 1 species